AGCCAUGCGAGUUGAAUGGGAUACCUAAAUUUCCCAUGGCAAACUGCUCAGUAACACAUGAUCAACUUACCCUAUAGAGAAAAAUAACCUCGGGAAACUGAGGAUAAUGUUUCGUAGUUGAAUAGGCUUGGAAAAGUUAUUCAAUAAAAGGGAUAAAAAAAAUGGUUUUUAUCUGCUAUAGGAUAGGAUCGUGGACGAUUAUGGUUGUCGGUGAGGUAACGGCUCACCAAGCCGAUAAUCGAUAGGGGCCGUGAGAGCGGGAGCCCCGAGAUGGGUACUGAGACAACGACCCAGGCCUUACGAGGCGCAGCAGGCGCGGAACCUCCGCAAUACACGAAAGUGUGACGGGGUUACCCAAAGUGUUCAAUUCUGAACUGUGGUAGGUGAGUAAUGUCCCCUACUAGAAAGGAGAGGGCAAGGCUGGUGCCAGCCGCCGCGGUAAAACCAGCUCUUCAAGUGGUCGGGAUAAUUAUUGGGCUUAAAGUGUCCGUAGCCGGUUUAGUAAGUUCCUGGUAAAAUCGGGUAGCUUAACUAUCCGUAUGCUAGGAAUACUACUAUACUAGAGGGCGGGAGAGGUCUGAGGUACUACAGGGGUAGGGGUGAAAUCUUAUAAUCCUUGUAGGACCACCAGUGGCGAAGGCGUCAGACUGGAACGUGCCUGACGGUGAGGGACGAAAGCCAGGGGAGCGAACCGGAUUAGAUACCCGGGUAGUCCUGGCCGUAAACGAUGCAUACUAGGUGAUGGCACGGCCAUGAGCCGUGUCAGUGCCGCAGGGAAACCGUUAAGUGUGCCGCCUGGGAAGUACGGUCGCAAGGCUAAAACUUAAAGGAAUUGGCGGGGGAGCACCACAAGGGGUGAAGCCUGCGGUUC
rnacentral:rRNA from 1 species